rnacentral:rRNA from 1 species
CGGGGUGCACCAGGCGCGAAACCUCUGCAAUAGGCGAAAGCUUGACAGGGUUACUCUGAGUGACGCCCGUUAAGGACGUCUUUUGGCACCUCUAAAAAUGGUGCAGAAUAAGGGGUGGGCAAGUCUGGUGUCAGCCGCCGCGGUAAUACCAGCACCCCGAGUGGUCGGGACGAUUAUUGGGCCUAAAGCAUCCGUAGCCGGUUCUGCAAGUCUUCCGUUAAAUCCACCUGCUCAACAGAUGGGCCGCGGAGGAUACUACAGGGCUAGGAGGCGGGAGAGGCAAGCGGUACUCAGUGGGUAGGGGUAAAAUCCUCUGAUCCACUGAAGACCACCAGUGGCGAAGGCGGCUUGCCAGAACGCGCUCGACGGUGAGGGAUGAAAGCUGGGGGAGCAAACCGGAUUAGAUACCCGGGUAGUCCCAGCUGUAAACGAUGCAGACUCGGUGAUGGGUUGGCUUCGAGCCAACCCAGUGCCGCAGGGAAGCCGUUAAGUCUGCCGCCUGGGGAGUACGGUCGCAAGACUGAAACUUAAAGGAAUUGGCGGGGGAGCCAAGGGCGAUUCGCG